ensembl:lncRNA
AUGUUUCAACAUCUUAAAUUGUCUGAUUCGGGUCUGAUACCCUACAAACAUCUCAAUAACAGCUUGUUUUCUUGCUCAGGUUCCUUGACACUGGACCUCUUGAAUGUGGCCUGUAGUCAACAGAGUAUUUGUGCUGUGAAGGGGUCCCAAGUGACACUGAGCACGAACAGCUCUGUGUCUUUCAUUGUAUAUGUUAAUUUAAACAAAGUGAAGAUCAUGAACUCCAGACUCUCACCGCUGAUCCUGCUGCUGCUCAUUACAGGUUUGAGCAUUACUGUGUGUUAUUUGAUUAUAGAUGUGUUGUUGUCCAAAGU